UUGAUCCUGCCAGUAGUGUAUGCUUUUCCUAAAGAUUAAGCCAUGCAUGUCUUCGAAUAUGAGGUAGCAAUUCUCUCUGAAUCUGCGAACGGCUCCGCAAACCAGUUGUAAGACACAGCAGUCCCGGGCCUAUCCCCUAGCUUCGCGGCCGGGGGGUAGCCCAUCUAUAUGGAUAACCCUGGUAAUUCUGAGGCUAAUACAUGACACAAUCAAACUUCCGUCGCCAGGGCCCUCACGGGCCUAGGCGGUGGGAGGGCGUGCGAGUUAAGGCUUGGGUAAUCAGGACAGAACGCACGCACUGGACCGCCAUUAAGCGGGGUGGGGAUGGGCCUUCACGGGCCUGACCCUGCCCUGGCGGCUCCUGGGUAUCGCUUCUGACCUAUCAAUUAGACGGCAGCUUAUGGGACAUGCUAUGGUGGCAACGGGUACAGAGGAUAAGGGUUCGAUCCUGGAGAGUGGGCCUGAGAGAUUGCUCAUACUUCUAAGGAAGGCAGCAGGCGCGCAACGUUCCCCUUGGACAAUGUCCGAGGGCGUUAGGGGACAUAUGAAUGGCUGCCUUUACGGUGGCCAAUUCAAAUGGGUCUGUCGUAAACAGGCUCUCGAGUAACAAUUAGAGGACAAGUCUGGUGCCAGCACCCGCGGUAAUUCCAGCUCUAAUAGCAUACGUUAAAGUUGUUGCGGUUAAAACGCUCGUAGUCGGGACUAGGUCAUCAGAAGCCGGCGCCGGGAACUUGGGUCUGUGCCCUGCGAAGGGCGCGCCAAGCGACUGGCAAUGGUGGGCGAUGGCCAAGCGUGCCCAGUGGCGUGUGGCCCUUUCGGGUCGCUUACAGGGCUCUGCUUGGCUUCGGUCGAGUAAGAGCCUGGCUGCUGGGUACCUAUUGCCAUGAUUAAACUGGCGUGCUCAAAGCAGGUCGUUCGGCCGCUGCACAGCACAGCAUGGCAUAAGGCUAGCUGGCUCGUACCUCUAAGCAGGGCGCGGCCGGUGAAUACGCUGAAAGGGAUGUUCGAGAGUGACCGAAUUGCCGGGCGAGUGGUGAAAUACGUUGACCCUGGCAAGUCGACCAAAGGCGAAAGCAGUCAUCAAGGGCAUGCCCGUUGAUCAAGAGCGAAAGUUAAGGGUUCGAAGACGAUCAGAUACCGUCGUAGUCUUAACUAUAAAUGAUACUGGCCUGGGAUAGGGCAAUGUCCAUCUCGACUCCCCCCGGAUCUUUAGGAAACUAAAGCCUUUGAGUUCUGGGGGGAGUAUGGUCGCAAGGCUGAAACUUAAAGGAAUUGACGGAAGGGCACACAAAGAGUGGAACCUGCGGCUUAAUUUGACUCAACACGGGAAAACUCACCAGGUCAAGAUACACGCAUGAAAGCCAAGCUGAUAGCCUUUGCUCAAUGAUGUAAGUGGUGGUGCAUGGUCGUCCCUCGACUGGGCUAGACUAUUGCAAUUAUUGGUCUUUAACGAGGAAUUUUUAGUAGUCGUGGGUCAUUACCCCGCGGCGAAUGCGUCCCUGCCCUUUGUACACACCGCCCGUCGCUGCUACCGAUUGGGUUUUGCGGUUACGCGUUCGGAGACUGGGGCAACUGCCGCCUUUCAAGGCGGUGGAAACCUUGGUCAAAGUUCGAAUUACCGCACGGCCUAGAGGAAGCAGAAGUCGUAACAAGGUAAUCGUAGGUGAACCUGCAGAAGGAUCAA
rnacentral:rRNA from 1 species